rnacentral:rRNA from 1 species
ACGAACGCUGGCGGCAGGCCUAACACAUGCAAGUCGAGCGAGAUCUUCGGGUCUAGCGGCGGACGGGUGAGUAACGCGUGGGAAUAUGCCCUUCUCUGCGGAAUAGCCUCGGGAAACUGAGCGUAAUACCGCAUACGCCCUUUGGGGGAAAGAUUUAUCGGAGAAGGAUUAGCCCGCGUUGGAUUAGGUAGUUGGUGGGGUAACGGCCUACCAAGCCGACGAUCCAUAGCUGGUUUGAGAGGAUGAUCAGCCACACUGGGACUGAGACACGGCCCAGACUCCUACGGGAGGCAGCAGUGGGGAAUCUUAGACAAUGGGGGCAACCCUGAUCUAGCCAUGCCGCGUGAGUGAUGAAGGCCUUAGGGUUGUAAAGCUCUUUCAGCUGGGAAGAUAAUGACGGUACCAGCAGAAGAAGCCCCGGCUAACUCCGUG